rnacentral:lncRNA from 1 species
CGUAGAAGCCCGGAUGGAAAUCAUUUGUCGAGGAAGGUCGGUCGAAGCCUGCCUGCAAUAGAAAUCCGAAAGGAAUUCAUCCACAAUGGAAGCUCGGGUGAAGGCUUACAGUGGAAGUCCGGUGCGGACCACUCGUAGUAGAAAUUUAAAGUAGACCGCUUGUAGUAGAAGCUCGGAGUCCGGCCCUUGUAGGAGUUCGGAUGAGGUCUACCUUCAGUCGGAGUUCGGGGA